CAGCCGCCGCGGUAAUACAGAGGGUGCGAGCGUUAAUCGGAUUUACUGGGCGUAAAGCGUGCGUAGGCGGUUCGUUAAGACAGAUGUGAAAUCCCCGGGCUUAACCUGGGAACUGCAUUUGUGACUGACGGGCUAGAGUAUGGCAGAGGGGGGUAGAAUUCCACGUGUAGCAGUGAAAUGCGUAGAGAUGUGGAGGAAUACCGAUGGCGAAGGCAGCCCCCUGGGCCAAUACUGACGCUCAUGCACGAAAGCGUGGGGAGCAAACAGGAUUAGAUACCCCCGUAGUCCCUGUCUCUUAUAC
rnacentral:rRNA from 1 species